UUAAAUUGAAGAGUUUGAUCAUGGCUCAGAUUGAACGCUGGCGGCAGGCUUAACACAUGCAAGUCGAACGG
rnacentral:rRNA from 1 species